CUCAAUCACAAAGCCCCAAAGAAUGUAUAAAAGCCCACCUACUUUCAACCUCCCAUUUUGUCAGCCACUCAAGAAUCAACUUCCUUUCCUGCAGCCUGCCUCCAUUUCAUUUUCAGUGUCUUUUUCCCGGAUUAGAACCAGGCCUGAUUUUUCUUUCAACAGUAACAUCCUGCUGAUAAAUAAGUCAACAGGGAAGAUGUAGGAAGUUGCUAGUCCAAGGCUAGCAGGCAGAUCAGGACGUAUGAACAGAAAAGACCUAGACAACUGGAAAGGAGAAAGGCCGGAGAGUGAAAUAAAUGUGUGUCAUAAUCACA